GACGAACGCUGGCGGCGUGCUUAACACAUGCAAGUCGAACGGAAAGACCCUGCUUUUGUGGGGUGCUCGAGUGGCGAACGGGUGAGUAACACGUGAGUAACCUGCCCUUGACUUUGGGAUAACUUCAGGAAACUGGGGCUAAUACCGGAUAGGAGCUCCUGCUGCAUGGUGGGGGUUGGAAAGUUUCGGCGGUUGGGGAUGGACUCGCGGCUUAUCAGCUUGUUGGUGGGGUAGUGGCUUACCAAGGCUUUGACGGGUAGCCGGCCUGAGAGGGUGACCGGCCACAUUGGGACUGAGAUACGGCCCAGACUCCUACGGGAGGCAGCAGUGGAGAAUAUUGCACAAUGGGCGGAAGCCUGAUGCAGUAACGCCGCGUGCGGGAUGACGGCCUUCGGGUUGUAAACCGCUUUCGCCUGUGACGAAGCGUGAGUGACGGUAAUGGGUAAAGAAGCACCGGCUAACUACGUG
rnacentral:rRNA from 1 species